AUUGAACGCUGGCGGCAUGCCUAACACAUGCAAGUCGAACGGCAGCGCGGGGGCAACCCUGGCGGCGAGUGGCGGACGGGUGAGUAAUACAUCGGAACGUACCCUGUCGUGGGGGAUAACGAAUCGAAAGAUUCGCUAAUACCGCAUACGACCUGAGGGUGAAAGCGGGGGAUCGCAAGACCUUGCGCUGAUUGAGCGGCCGAUGUCAGAUUAGCUAGUUGGUAGGGUAAAGGCCUACCAAGGCGACGAUCCGUAGCGGGUCUGAGAGGACGGCCCGCCACACUGGGACUGAGACACGGCCCAGACUCCUACGGGAGGCAGCAGUGGGGAAUUUUGGACAAUGGGGGAAACCCUGAUCCAGCAACGCCGUGUGAGUGAUGAAGGUCUUCGGAUUGUAAAGCUCUGUUAGCCGGGACAAAACCCGCAAGCAUCAGAUCCUUGCGAUUGAUGGUACCGGCAGAGGAAGCACCGGCUAACUCUGUGCCAGCAGCCGA
rnacentral:rRNA from 1 species